UACGGGGGGGGGCAAGCGUUGUUCGGAAUUACUGGGCGUAAAGGGCUCGUAGGCGGCCAACUAAGUCAGACGUGAAAUCCCUCGGCUUAACCGGGGAACUGCGUCUGAUACUGGAUGGCUUGAGUUUGGGAGAGGGAUGCGGAAUUCCAGGUGUAGCGGUGAAAUGCGUAGAUAUCAGGAGGAACACCGGUGGCGAAGGCGGGACUCUGGGCCGAUACUGACGCUGAGGAGCGAAAGCGUGGGGAGCAAACAGG
rnacentral:rRNA from 1 species